ACGCUCGACACCUACGGGGGCAGCAGUGGGGAAUAUUGCACAAUGGGGGAAACCCUGAUGCAGCGACGCCGCGUGAGUGAAGAAGUAUUUCGGUAUGUAAAGCUCUAUCAGCAGGGAAGAAGAUGACGGUACCUGAGUAAGAAGCCCCGGCUAACUACGUGCCAGCAGCCGUGGUAAUCUGAGCGGGCUGGCAAGGC
rnacentral:rRNA from 1 species